GUAAUCUAAACAGCGGGCAACAGAUCACUGGUAUUCAAACAUUUGCUCCUUCUCUGAUCGUGUCUCGGCAAUUUCCACCCUGUUCAAUGAAUGCCAAGUAACCCAGCUCUCCCUGAGUCCAGACUUCCCUGAGGUUCUACCCAUUUUAAGAGUUCAGUCUUGUCAGUCAUCUCACUGAGAACCUGUUUGACCUGCUGCUGGUAUUUUGGGAAAACAGAAAAGGAGUAAGUUCAUACCCCUUGAUACACACAUACAUCCUGUCUGAAGCCCCUUCAAAGUUUUCCCAUUCAGGUACUGCCAAUUUCCUUCUCUCGCUUUCUUUCCUUUGUUUCCAUUAAAA